AUAUGUGGUGUCGUAAUCUACUGGGAUUCAAGUAACUAAUUUUCAGCAUCUGCGGUUCUUUGCUUUACACGUUCAUUUUGAUGUUGUGACCGGCCAACAACGAAUCAAAGGAGAUCAGAUACGUGGUGUCGUAAUCUACUGGGAUUCAAGUAAAUAACUGUGGAAGUCAGAGAACCAGUUGUGACUGUGAGACGUGGUGUUGUGUUGGAAGCACACAGAUGGCCUGGGAUGUUCAUUAGAUGCAUCAAGAAGUUGCUAUGGAGACGGUGCAGAACGUUCCCCCCCCCGGUUACGGCAAGGUUCCCUUCCUGGGAACCGUUCCCAAGUGGAACAUGCGUCCGUGAACAGAGUUCCCACACGGCAGAAGAUGUCUGCAGCCCCGCAGCAGCCGGUAAAUCCAUCCCACCGUCUCCCAGACACUCGCUCAUGUGUAUGGGCUGUACUUUAGUGUGUCCGUAAGCUGGGGACGAUCUACACCUCAAACAAGUC